AGUAAAAGUCGUAACAAGGUUUCCGUAGGUGAACCUGCGGAAGGAUCAUUAUCGAGUUUUUGAACGGGUUGUCUGCUGGCUCGAAAGAGCAUGUGCACGCCUGGCUCAUCCACUCUCAACUUCUGUGCACUUUUCAUAGGCCGGCUUGUGGGUGUCGCGUUCGCGCGCACUUGUAGGUCUGGCUUAUGCUCUACCACAAACGAUUCAGCUAUAGAAUGUCUUUACUUUGCGAUAACGCAAUUAUAUACAACUUUCAGCAACGGAUCUCUUGGCUCUCGCAUCGAUGAAGAACGCAGCGAAAUGCGAUAAGUAAUGUGAAUUGCAGAAUUCAGUGAAUCAUCGAAUCUUUGAACGCACCUUGCGCUCCUUGGUAUUCCGAGGAGCAUGCCUGCUUGAGUCUCGUGGAAUUCUCAACCUUCAACUUUGUUGUCGAAGGCUUGGACUUGGAGGUCGUGCCGGCUCUAGUAGUCGGCUCCUCUGAAAUGCAUCAGUGCGAACGUUACCAGCCGCUUCAGCGUGAUAAUUAUCUGCGUUGCUGUGGGGGGUAUGUCAGUGUUCGUGCUUCGAACCGUCUUCGGACAAUAUUUCAUCUCUGAGCUCAAAUCAGGUAGGACUACCCGCUGAACUUAAGCAUAUCAAUAAGCGGAGGA
rnacentral:rRNA from 1 species